GCUCCUACGGGACGCAGCAGUAGGGAAUCUUCCACAAUGGACGAAAGUCUGAUGGAGCAACGCCGCGUGAGUGAAGAAGGGUUUCGGCUCGUAAAGCUCUGUUGUAGUGAAGAAAGAUAGAGGUAGUAACUGGCCUUUAUUUGACGGUAAUUACUUAGAAAGUCACGGCUAACUACGUGCCAGCAGCCGCGGUAAUACGUAGGCGGCAAGCGUUGUCCGGAUUUAUUGGGCGGAAA
rnacentral:rRNA from 1 species